GUUGGGAUGCAGGACUGCAAAGGACGCUGGCGUGUCAAAAUUAUUCCGUGUCAUACACUCAAAGAUACUGCGGAGCGACAAGAGUAUGUGGCGGUAUUUUUAGCCCUAACGGAUCAAAGCCUGCAAUCGACGGGGUAUACUGGCCAGAAGAAAAUCCUGGCUACAGCCCAUAUCCGACUGCUGACUGGAAAAUCAAUGACCCUCAUAGCGCAUGCUGCUUCCAGUGCCCCGGUGCUAUUUGAUUCACGGAGCUCUGCGCUGGGACUGGCAAAAUCUGUCCUGAGCUCGACUCUGUUCGGCAACGCCGGGAACAUUGGUUUAAUCGAAGAUGACAGCAUAACCAUCACCAUCGAAGUGACGCUGUUCCAUAAUCCGCAAAAUGUCCGUCGGCUGCGUCCACUGAUGCCGGCAUGGUUAUGCAAAAGCGUUGACAGGCAGGAGGACCAGCCUGAGCUGUAGAACGUUCUAUGGACUGCAAAGAAGGUAACAACGACGGAAACGCACUCCGAAUUCCUGACGUUCUGAAUGCCGCAUCUGGGAUUAAGAAGAAUAUGGAGCGGGAAUGCGGUAUGAUAGCAGCGAAUGGGAAAUGUGCAUAUCUGUAUAAGGUCGAAACUGGUCCGGUCAGUGAAGACAGCAUUGUGGGGAUCGCAUCAGAGACUGGAGCGGAGUGUCAAUAUCAGAAACCCGAGAAAUCACCACCGCCACCGUAUGAGAAAUUUUAACGUCAUUUCGCGCCCUCCUGCUACACGACGACGAUGGCUAUAUAAAAAGUUCAUGUUCUCCUUUAAGUCUCUUACUAGAGCAUGUACGUAUCUGUCAGUUACCUACGAUAUCCCAUUAACGUUCAUUAGCCUAUGUAACCUUCAGCCAGUUUGAUCAAAACUGAUUUCGAUUUUGAUGAUGUCCGAAGCUUAACUGAUUACGUAGUGCGACCGCGCUUUGCAGUUUUUUAUUACUCGCUGAUUCGCUUAACCGCUGCACGUAAAAUA